UACGUAGGGGGCAAGCGUUGUCCGGAAUCAUUGGGCGUAAAGGGCGCGUAGGCGGCCAUCUAAGUCAGACGUGAAAUCCCCCGGCUUAACCUGGGAACUGCGUCUGAUACUGGAAGGCUUGAGUAUGGGAGAGGGAUGUAGAAUUCCAGGUGUAGCGGUGAAAUGCGUAGAUAUCUGGAGGAAUACCGGUGGCGAAGGCGGCAUCCUGGACCAUUACUGACGCUGAGGCGCGAAAGCUAGGGGAGCAAACGGG
rnacentral:rRNA from 1 species